rnacentral:rRNA from 1 species
UCCGUAGGUGGACAAUUAAGUCAGAGGUGAAAGUUUGCAGCUCAACUGUAAAAUUGCCUUUGAUACUGGUUGUCUUGAAUUAUUGUGAAGUGGUUAGAAUAUGUAGUGUAGCGGUGAAAUGCAUAGAUAUUACAUAGAAUACCAAUUGCGAAGGCAGAUCACUAACAAUAUAUUGACACUGAUGGACGAAAGCGUGGGGAGCGAACAGGAUUAGAUACCAUGGUAGUCC